rnacentral:rRNA from 1 species
AUUGAACGCUGGCGGCAGGCCUAACACAUGCAAGUCGAGCGCGCGGCGGACGGGUGAGUAAUGUCUGGGAAACUGCGUGAUGGAGGGGGAUACCUACUGGAGACGUUAGCUAUUACCGCAUACCAUCAGAUGUGCCCAGAUGGCAUUUGCAAGUAGGUGGGGUAACGGCUCACCUAGGCGACGAUCCCUAGCUGGGCUGAGAGGAUGACCAGCCACACUGGAACUGAGACACGGCCCAGACUCCUACGGGAGGCAGCAGUGGGGAAUAUUGCACAAUGGGCGAAAGCCUGAUGCAGCCAUGCCGCGUGAGUGAAGAAGGCCUUCGGGUUGUAAAGCACUUUCAGCGGGGAGGCGUUACCCGCAGAAGAAGCACCGGCUAACUCCGUGCCAGCAGCCGCGGUAAUAC